AGUAGGCCCCUGGUGGCCGCGGCUGCUGCAGCCGUAACUGUCAGUCCUGGCUGAGCGACGGCGGGAGGGUUUUGUCGCCCGAGGGGACGCGAGCGGGCCCGGGGCGGGGCGGGACGUGCGAGGCGUCGAGAUUUGGGCCUCCUAGGAGCCAGGCUCUUCAAGCCAGCCGGGGCCCCAGACAGGGAAGGGCAGGCCCUUUCCUUCAAAGGGGAGCUCUUUCUCGGCGUUUUCAAGCUUUUUGGCUCUCUUGGGGAAGACAUAUUUAGCCGUGUGCUUGAGGGGAGGUAUGGUGUCAAGAAAACAUAGUCACCAUUAUUACGAAAAGUAAAAUAUGGAAGAGAUGAUCCCUACCAUCAAUCAGCUUACAACUAGAGGCACUGACAAAUGUAUACAGAUAGCUGUAAUGUAAGGUUAAAAAUCUGUAAGAGCCUGAUUUUAGAAUUCACCAGCUCCUCAGAAGUUUGGCGAAAUAUG
rnacentral:sRNA from 1 species